UGGGGUGUGGCUCAGUGGUAGAGUACUUGCCUCGCAUAUGUGAGGCACUGGGUUCGAUCCUCAGCGCCACAU
rfam:Ictidomys tridecemlineatus contig003253, whole genome shotgun sequence.